UACGUAGGUGGCAAGCGUUGUUCGGAAUUAUUGGGCGUAAAGGGCGCGUAGGCGGUUUGUUAAGUCGGUUGUGAAAGCCCGGGGCUCAACCCCGGAGGGUCGACCGAUACUGGCGAACUAGAGUACAGAAGAGGUAGCUGGAAUUCCCGGUGUAGCGGUGAAAUGCGUAGAUAUCGAGAGGAACACCAGUGGCGAAGGCGAGUCUCUGGACAUUUCCUGACGCUGAGGCACGAAAGCCAGGGGAGCAAACGGG
rnacentral:rRNA from 1 species